CGAUCAAAUCGUUUCUGUUUCAUUUUUUUUUCCUAUAAAUGCGUUUGUUAUUGGUAUUUACAGUAGAUAAUUUUACAAUCGGACGUAUUAACCUAUUAACCGGAUCGUCUUUAAACGAAAAAUUACAAUUUUAAAGAUAAAAAUUAAUAAAGAUAAAUUUUAUUUUCAUUGAUGUUAAUUUUAGUUCUUGCAGACGUACAUAUGGCAGAAUUUAUUUUUAACGAAAACAAAGCCACGCGUGAAAGAAUAAAGGAACUUCAAAAAUGAAGAAAUUACGAUGUCCACGAAAAUUAUUUGUUACGUCCAAAGAAAUUAUCAACCAAAAUGACGAGUUAACUCGUCUGUAUUUUAGAUCUGUAUGAAUUAUCAUUAUUUAAUUAUUUGAGGAUGUAAUGCAAUUAUGAAAAAUUCAAAAUAAACAUACAAAAACGAUCUAUAAAAUAAUCACACCUUUAUCUUUGAGAUCUCCUACGUUGUUGGUAUCGAAUACAAUAAGUAUAUAUACUUCUAACAUUUUGUAAAUAAAUAUUAAUAAUUCUGUUACGUAUGAUAACAUUUACAAUUAUGGAUCUUUUUUGGAAUUAAAAUCAAAUAUAAAAGUAGGUAUUUGUAUAGCAUAAUUGAGAUCAUCUAUAAACUCAAGAUUUUGGAAAUAACUAAAUUCCUAUAUUUACCUAUAAUUUUAGACCCCUGAAAAUAAUUAGUAUCGUGAUUAGUAACUCGCCACAAGCAAUUUGUGUGGGUAUUAAACUUCCCUUUAAUUAAAGUAUCUAUUCCAUAGGCUUUAAGGCAGAUUUGCUUCGAUAAAUCCUUCAAUUUUCGGAACUGUAAUAUUUUAUGCAAAUUUCGAAAGAAUUUAUGACAAACGAUCGAACAUUCAUAAUAGUAUACAGGGUGCCCCAGUUAUUUGGGGCCAAACGUUGUUAGCACAGCCUCUUAAGUCAAGAUAAGGAGAAAACAUCACAUAAAUAUAUGUUAUUAGAAACAUCGUUAAAAGAGUUGCCGCAACGAGAUAGUAAUAAAGAGGCAAAACAAAGUUCGCUUUUUGACUGUUUGGUAGAUAAAUCGAUGGGCUUAUAAGGUGACGUUAAUAAACAGCACGAUAGAAAAGCUCGUAAAUUUUGUCAAAUCGCGCCGGGGCCAUUUACCUUCAUUUCCGACUUUUUAACGUUUCGAUCUUCUCUAUCUUCUCUGCUUACAGUCGACAUAUUUUUCAUGAAAAAGGUAGACUCAAAUAAUUAAUCAUUAAUUCUCGUGAUUUAUUAAUUAUCUGUGAAAUCUUUUAUUCAACAAAUAAUUCGAAGGAAGUAACAACAUACUGCUAAUUUAAUUGCUUGCUCUGUUAAAGAGUGGAUUCUCCCACGACCAUUUUAUUUGAAAGAAAAUCUACAAGUAUCUUAGUUUCAUUCACUUUUUUAUUAUUUGCGCCGGUAAAUCACUAGCUCUUCGUUCACCGGAAGUUCCUUUUCAAAUAAAGAGAGUUCUAUGGCGAGCAGACAGAAGUAAAUGUCUAGAUUCCUUGAAUAACUGAAUAUAUAUUAGAUUCACGUCUGUGCACUUCUACCUUUUCGAAAGUGAUCGAUUCAGUCCGAUUCAAUGGACUGUUAAGCGUUCGAAAGAUCCUGUCUAAUUCAAAUACUUGAAUACUAAUGAACCAUAAAGAUGUUCAGAAUUGUUUGUAAUUAGAUAAGCGUUGUACUGAAUUAACGCAUAAUAUGAAAUAUCGUUUUCCUAAAUUAAAACGUUAAUGUCAUCUAACAGGUACAUUAGAGAACGUAACAUAUUUAAUCUGAUAUUGACUUCGUAAGUAAAUGAUAAGAUAAAUAAUAUGAUUUUAUAAAUGAACCUAAUCUAAAUACAUAUAUUUGAUCGUAUAUUUCUCAUAUAAUUUUACGAUUGUUUCUUUAAUAAUAAACAACAUUCAUUGCUCCAGAUUUCGUAGAAACAUCUGUUCUAGAAUGAAAAAGUUAUUAAAAAAUAUUGUUUCGAUAAUUUGGUUACUUCGAAAGAAUUUAUUUGUUCAAAAAUUGUUUAAGUUUUCAAACAAGAGAAUCAGGAAGGAUUGGAAGAAUAUUUUAAUAAAGAUUCCGAUGUUUUAAUCUUCGGAAUUGUGUAGCCAUUUUGAGACACAAAAUACAACUUGGUUGCUUCCCUAAUGAAAAGUCGCCAACCUUGAAUUUCAUGAACCUAACCUGAAUUAUUCUAAUAUUUACAUAAACACACUUACGUAAAGUUGAGAAUGUACGUAUGCUUUCAAUAUGUUUUACAAUAUUUUCACCAAGCUUAAACUCAUAUUUAUAAAUCACGCGAAUAUUCUGAUUAUUCAUAACUGUUAAUAACGAGGUUCUAACAUUUUUAUGAUGAAUUUCGUUGAUAUAAACCGUGUAUUAUAGCUCGUUUCUCGUUCCUUAAUACGAACGACGUUCAAAUAAAACAAUCGACAGCGAAAUAAAGUUUAGUUAAUGGUAUUGGCACAAAUUCAAAUGUUCGAAUUGAAAUUCACAUUGAAAUUCGAGAACGACAUUUUUCAUGCAUAUAUGCAGCAAUUUAAUAUUUUUAUAAUGAUAAUGCACCGUAUCUACAUCUAAACUGCAUUGUAUAAGAAAACAUAUUCUUCCAGAUAAGAUCUCUUCGGAUAGGAAACAGUAUACAGUUUAUGACAAGAUGUUUCGAAUCGGUGAUCCGUAAAAUAACAGAUUUUGGUAAAAAAGGAAAUCGCCUCCACGUGUAAAUUAUUUAUGGGAGAUCAGAGGUUAGAAUACGAUAUUGUUUUUAACCAAAAAACAAUAUAUAGAACAUACGGGUUGUAUAAUUACGAGAUACACAAUUCAUACAAUUACGAAAGAGGAUUUAAGUUUUUGUUUAUAAGUUGAUUCUAUUGUAUACUCUACCCAAGUGUGUAAUAUUAAAUAAAUUAAAAAAUAAUUUAAAUUACCUCAAAAUAGCUACGAUUUUGAAAGAAUAAAUGAUGAGAAAUAAAAUGAACGUUUUGAAUCAAAUUGUUUAAAAUCUGAACUAAUAUCCAGUUACUCGAAAUCUUAGACGAUUAUACUUCUACUCUAUGCGUUCUUUCACUCAUUGUCGAGUUAAUCGUCCAUUUUUUAAAAAUAUUUUAAGUUUAAAGAAAAUAUUAAGUGAUUGAUAAACAUCUUUUAUUUUAAUUUUACGUUGAAGUUGUUCGAAAAAGAUCAUUAAAGAUCCUUCUGCUUAUUGAAAUAGCGAUAGAAUUUGGAUAUGAAAUUAAGGUCAUUAAAUCAUUUGAAAGAUCACCUACGCUUCGGCAUUAGGCGAAAGUUGCCGGUUUCGAGGCAACGACCUCGCUAACAAAUAUUCGUAUUUCACAAAAAAAUGUGGGCGCCCACAUAAUCGCCAGUCAACUCGUUUAUCAAACAAGUAAUCGGAUCUCGUUCGUGAAUUAAAGAAAAUCAGUGAACACGAUGAUUCAAACGUUGUUUGCUUUCGAGUAUUUUCGCAUCCGUUUCGAUGUAAUUUAUAUAAUACGUUCCAUAAUUUUGAUUUUUCGUGAAAGAUAAUGCUGGUGUUGACAUUUCGUUAUUGCGUUUAUAAACGACAACAAUGUCUCUUUGAAUAUUUUAUAAUUAGUAUGAGAUUUUCUACGAACAUUUUAUUACACUCAUAGACCAUUUCUUGCGUUCGGUUCAUUGUGUUUUAUAAAAAAAAAUUGGUCAUAAAGAAUAAAAUGUACAAAAUAUAUUUUUGCAUUCAUACUUUUGUAACGGAUAUUUCAUUGAAUUAUGUGAAUUUUAUUCUUUAUCCUUUUAUAGCACUAUUGCUAUCAUUAUGGAGUUAUUAAUAAAUUUAUCAUUUAAUCGAUGUAGCUGAAUUUGUGUGAUCAGUGAUAAUUCUAAAAUAAAGGAAACGUUCAUCAUC